UGUGGUGUAGCUCAGUGGUAGAGUGCUUGUUUCAAAUGCACAAUGCACUGGAUUCAGUUUCCAGUGCUGCAA
rnacentral:tRNA from 1 species